CUCCUCAUUUUGAAAGGCAAUCUGGUGUCAGAAGGAGUUAUUAGCAAUCUAGGAAUAUCAACUAUCUCCCCAAUCCUCUCUCCUGUUAUAAUCCUAGCUUGAACCAUAAAAUCCAUUAGCUGAGUGAUCUGCAGUCUCGUCCCAUUCAUUAAGCCGUCAGUAGGAGCUAUGUUUCUCAGAACCAUAACAGGACAACCAACCUUCAGUCUAAGACUAUGGUUUGGUAAACCAGGAACCUUAAUUGUGUUUAGAAGAUCAGCACUAAGAGCUUCAUUGUUCACAGCACCUGUAUCAGAGGGAUCAAUGCUAUCAGCACUGUUAUAAAUUUUUUCCUCACCUGAAAUAGAAAACAAAAACUCUUAGAAUAAGAGUCAGCUACAACUUCUGC
rnacentral:lncRNA from 1 species